rnacentral:pre_miRNA from 1 species
AGCUUUUUGAAUUCGUGCUGAGAUUUUGUCACACAUCAACCCAUUAGGGCUGACCAGAUUUCCAAGAUAAGUGAAGUU